CAAGGGCACCCGCUCCAAAGCCGCUGAGUGUCUCACCAUGUGCUGCGCAACCUCCUCCAUGCCCAUUCUAUCCUCCUGCCUAAUCAAGAGCUGCAGAAUGUGGACAGCGGCGCCGCUGCUUCCCCAGCUCCGUGCAUCAUCAGCACGCAAUUUGGCCAUAUAUUAGGAGGUACCAUAACUAAUACUCAAAUUGAAAGCUGAGGCUUCAAAGCAGAUGAUGGGUUCCUUGCCGUCUGAUAGGGUUACCCAGGCUCUUCCAUUUGAUCGGGUUGGCAUAGACUAUGCCGGACCGUUCAACAUUAAACAAUCCAGGAUA